GAGAUUUAUUAAUUAAAGCUUCUAACUUUACGAUUAAUGAGUAAAAUUCAUUUAUUUCUCA
rnacentral:tRNA from 1 species